UGNGUAGCGGUGAAAUGCGUAGAUAUAUGGAGGAACACCAGUGGCGAAAGCGGCUCUNUGGUCUGUCACUGACGCUGAGGCUCGAAAGCGUGGGUAGCGAACAGGAUUAGAUACCCUGGUAGUNCACGCCGUAAACGAUGAGUGCUAGGUGUUAGGCCCUUUCCGGGGCUUAGUGCCGGAGCUAACGCAAUAAGCACUCCGCCUGGGGAGUACGACCGCAAGGUUGAAACUCAAAGGAAUUGACGGGGGCCCGCACAAGCGGUGGAGCAUGUGGUUUAAUUCGAAGCAACGCGAAGAACCUUACCAGGUCUUGACAUCCCGAUGCUAUUCUUAGAGAUAGGAAGUUACUUCGGUACAUCGGAGACAGGUGGUGCAUGGUUGUCGUCAGCUCGUGUCGUGAGAUGUUGGGUUANNNNNNNNNACGAGCGCAACCCUUAUUGUUAGUUGCCAUCAUUAAGUUGGGCACUCUAGCGAGACUGCCGGUAAUAAACCGGAGGAAGGUGGGGAUGACGUCAAAUCAUCAUGCCCCUUAUGACCUGGGCUACACACGUGCUACAAUGGUCGGUACAACGAGUUGCGAGCCGGUGACGGCAAGCUAAUCUCUGAAAGCCGAUCUCAGUUCGGAUUGGAGGCUGCAACUCGCCUCCAUGAAGUCGGAAUCGCUAGUAAUCGCGGAUCAGCACGCCGCGGUGAAUACGUUCCCGGGCCUUGU
rnacentral:rRNA from 1 species